UGGGGAAUAUUGGACAAUGGGCGCAAGCCUGGUCCAGCCAUGCCGCGUGAGUGAUGAAGGCCUUAGGGUUGUAAAGCUCUUUUAGCAGGGAAGAUAAUGACGGUACCUGCAGAAAAAGCCCCGGCUAACUUCGUGCCAGCAGCCGCGGUAAUACGAAGGGGGCUAGCGUUGCUCGGAAUUACUGGGCGUAAAGCGCACGUAGGCGGACUCUUAAGUCGGUGGUGAAAUCCUGGAGCUCAACUCCAGAACUGCCUUCGAUACUGGGAGUCUUGAGUUCGGGAGAGGUGAGUGGAACUGCGAGUGUAGAGGUGAAAUUCGUAGAUAUUCGCAAGAACACCAGUGGCGAAGGCGGCUCACUGGCCCGAUACUGACGCUGAGGUGCGAAAGCGUGGGGAGCAAACA
rnacentral:rRNA from 1 species